AAAAAAUUGUUGAAACUCAGAAAUCAUCGAGACGAUGAUGCUAUACCAGAUUAAACACGAUCGAAGUUUUCUUCUCAAAAUUCAACAUCUCUUUUAACCUAAAUUACUCAAUUACUUACCCUGAUUUGCUUCCCUAGAGGAAUUUUUUUUUGAAAUUGUCAGGGUCUUAAUAGAGCAAUUUUAGCCAAAAGAGAUUGAACUGAAACAACAUCGAACUGCUAAAUUCGACUGCUUCAAAAGGAAAUUGAAACUAGGGCACCAGAACCAGCACCACCACCAUCAGCACCACCAUAACCAGCACCACAACCACCAAAUUAUACACAAAUAUGAUGAAACGGCAUCACUCCCAUAGAGUUGGAUCCAUAUAUGGUGGUAGUUGUACCAAGCCGAGAAUGGUAUUAUUUGGACAAGGACCGCAAGGGGAUUCACUCACGAAAUUUCAGGUGUCAAAUGAAAUUUCAGGCGUGGAUAGUAAGAGCUUGUUUGUUUGCAGCUGACUCGGUGUCUGGGUCUGAGUCAACCCCUGACUCGCGCCGAGUCAGCAGUCAGACUGUUUGUUUUGUAAAUUUAGCAACCCCUGACUCGACAUCUGAGUCGAACCUAACCCCUGACUCGGGCCCUAGGGAGUCAGGCAUUGAAAUGCUGCUGAGUAGGUGGUUCAAACCCCUGACUCACUAAAAUUGACGAAAAUGCCCUCACGUUUUAGAUCAAAAAAACUCAUUUCCUUUCUCAUUUUCUUCGUUCAUUCCGUCGGAAGCAGAGAUGGGUGAUGAGGAGGCAAACCCUAGAUCUAUUCUCAACUGAUAUCUUCUUCACCUCUCUCAACAAAUCGAGUAAUUUCUAUCUCAAUCAUCACUCUCGUCUCAUCUUUCCAUCUCUUUCAAAUCAUUUAAAAGCUUCUUUUAGAAGGUUUUAUGUUUUUUACUCUCUCUCUCUUUCAUGUCUUCUCGAUCUGCUCUGAAGAAGAGUUUCUGUUCUGAAGAAAUCCAACCAGCUGAAAGCAUCAAUCUGGGUUUUUAGGUCAUCUGUGAGAUUCAGAAGCAUCGAUCUGAUAAUCAGUUCUCUAUGGAGAAAAAGGAAGAUGAGAAAGCAAAUAAGAUAACUUUUAGGAGCGUCCCAGAAUUUAGAGGGCUAUUUAUUGAACAGUGUUUGGCACAAGCUACUGAGUAUGGAUUUUCUGGAACUUCUUUGAAGCAAACUUCGUGGGGAAAUUUGUGCAAGUUCUUUUCUGAGAAGUAUGACUGCACCAUCACACAAAAAAAGUUGAGAAACCACUGGGAUUACUUGCGAACCCAAUAUGUCACUUGGUCCCGUCUCUUAGCUAGAACCGGACAUGGGUAUAACGCGGAGACGAACACAUUUGAUUGGAGCGAAGAGCAAUGGGUUGAAUUAGACAAGGUAAGAGACUAUUUCAGUUUUGUUUGGACUUUAUGAUUGAAUUAAAUUUAUGCUUAAUAGUUAAAUUUAUGCUUAAUUUUCAGUUUUGCUUGGAUAGUUAUUUGACUCUUCCAAAGGACAUUCCAA